rnacentral:ncRNA from 1 species
GGUUAGUUUUUCGUGCUUCGAUCCUUCUCAAAUUCGUUCGUGGGGCCGGAUUAGACGGAUCUCAGACGUAGGUUCUUAUCGGCUCCCUGCCCAAGGAGGGGCUUGUGUUUGAUUAGCUAGUUGGUGAGGUGAUAGCUUACCAAGGCCCGGACUGGGACUAAGGCACAGCCCUGACUCGUACGGGAAGCGGCAAUGGAACAUUUUCCGCAAUGGGCGGAAGCCCGAUGGAGCAAUGUCACGUGGAGGUGGAAGGCCUACGAGUCGUCAACUUCUUUUCUCGGAGAAGAAACACUAACGUAUCUAAGGAAUAAGCCCAGAGCGGCU